ensembl:lncRNA
GCUUAGCUAGUAAACCUAUUUAGUUGUGCUCAGUUCUUAACUGACAAGAAAUCUCAAGUAUGCUCUUGCGCUGUUCCCGAAAGAAAUGAGUUCAGUGCAUCUGACCCAUCUGACUACACAAUAGGGUUGACCUCUGCCCAGAGGUCGGAGAGCCAUCAGAGGAAAGAGGAAAGACGUAUAAUAACUUAGUACGAAGGAAAGGAGUCUAAUAACUUGGUACGAAGGAAAGGAGUCGAAUAACUUGGUACGAAGGAAAGGAGUCUAAUAACUUGGUACGAAGGAAAGGAGUCUAAUAACUUGGUACGAAGGAAAGGAGUCUAAUAACUUGGUACGAAGGAAAGGAGUCGAAUAACUUGACUUCCCAUUGGGGCUCACAGAUUACUCCAUUGCUUUAACCUGGACAAAUUACCUGGACAAUCACCACCUAACCUAUCAACGGGAUUGAGGGGCAAAGAGGAGGGGUAUAAGAAGAGGAAGCUGUAGAAUUACUGGGUGCCCGGUGGGGACCGCGAAACGGUGACGGACGGACGGACGGACAAACGAACGAACGAACGAACGAACCGAAUUGGGCUGCAACUAGAA